AUUGAACGCUGGCGGCAGGCCUAACACAUGCAAGUCGAACGGUAACAGGAAGCAGCUUGCUGCUUUGCUGACGAGUGGCGGACGGGUGAGUAAUGUCUGGGAAACUGCCUGAUGGAGGGGGAUAACUACUGGAAACGGUAGCUAAUACCGCAUAACGUCGCAAGACCAAAGAGGGGGACCUUAGGGCCUCUUGCCAUCGGAUGUGCCCAGAUGGGAUUAGCUAGUAGGUGGGGUAACGGCUCACCUAGGCGACGAUCCCUAGCUGGUCUGAGAGGAUGACCAGCCACACUGGAACUGAGACACGGUCCAGACUCCUACGGGAGGCAGCAGUGGGGAAUAUUGCACAAUGGGCGCAAGCCUGUUGCAGCCAUGCCGCGUGUAUGAAGAAGGCCUUCGGGUUGUAAAGUACUUUCAGCGGGGAGGAAGGGAGUAAAGUUAAUACCUUUGCUCAUUGACGUUACCCGCAGAAGAAGCACCGGCUAACUCCGUG
rnacentral:rRNA from 1 species